rnacentral:rRNA from 1 species
UAAUACGGAGGGUGCAAGCGUUAUCCGGAUUCACUGGGUUUAAAGGGUGCGUAGGUGGAUUGGUAAGUCAGUGGUGAAAUCUCUGGGCUUAACUCAGAAACUGCCAUUGAUACUAUCAGUCUUGAAUACCGUGGAGGUCAGCGGAAUAUGUCAUGUAGCGGUGAAAUGCUUAGAUAUGACAUAGAACACCAAUUGCGAAGGCAGCUGGCUACUCGAUUAUUGACACUGAGGCACGAAAGCGUGGGGAUCAAACAGGAUUAGAUACCCUGGUAGUCCACGCCCUAAACGAUGGAUACUCGACAUUUGCGAUAAACUGCAAGUGUCUGAGCGAAAGCAUUAAGUAUCCCACCUGGGAAGUACGAUCGCAAGAUUG